rnacentral:rRNA from 1 species
CUUCGGGGUCAGUGGCAGACGGGUGAGUAACGCGUGGGAACGUGCCCUUCAGUUCGGGAUAACCCAGGGAAACUUGGGCUAAUACCGGAUACGUCCGAGAGGAGAAAGAUUUAUCGCUGAAGGAUCGGCCCGCGUCUGAUUAGCUAGUUGGUGGGGUAAUGGCCCACCAAGGCGACGAUCAGUAGCUGGUCUGAGAGGAUGAUCAGCCACACUGGGACUGAGACACGGCCCAGACUCCUACGGGAGGCAGCAGUGGGGAAUAUUGGACAAUGGGCGCAAGCCUGAUCCAGCCAUGCCGCGUGAGUGAUGAAGGCCUUAGGGUUGUAAAGCUCUUUCGCACGCGACGAUAAUGACGGUAGCGUGAGAAGAAGCCCCGGCUA